UUGGUGGGCCCCCUGCAGCAGCCACUUUUCCUCCCAUUUUUUCCUUCUUUCCUCCUUUCUUUCUUUCUCCCUCACCCUUCAUUCACGCACACACACACAGCAGCCCUUUUUUCCCAUUUUCCCUCACUCUUUCUCCUUCCACAAACCCACACACAUGACCUAGAUUGGGAGAGAAAGAGCUGCAGAUUGAGAGAGAGAGAGAGGGGUACUGCUGGCUGGGAGAAAGAAAGAGAAAGAAGAAGGAGAAGAAGAAAGAAGAAAAAGAAAAGAAAAGGAAAGUGACGAAAUUUGAAGGGGGUUCCGGCUAGGGGUGCUUGAGAGGUGUAUCGCGGUUGAGUCAAGAGUUCACUGGAGGGUACUCAACUAAACAAGACGAUGUGAUUAAUGUUGAUGCAGGUGCGGAGAUUACUGAGGAUGACCCAGUAGCUAUGUAUUUGGGUUACUACAACGUUUGAGGCAUAGUUGCAUCAGACGUUAUUUUGUUGGACUAGAUAAUAGUCCCCUUUUGUAGAGCUUACAUGUAUAUGCUUAGACUUUGUUAUUUUGUAUAUGGCUCGUGUCGCAUGUGACACUUUUGUAUAGCCAUUCUUUUGUAUGUAAGCUUUAAUCACUUAGAUGUAUUAAUCAGCUCUGAUGUAUUAUGUUA